rnacentral:rRNA from 1 species
AGUGAACGCUGGCGGUAGGCCUAACACAUGCAAGUCGAACGGCAGCACAGUAAGAGCUUGCUCUUACGGGUGGCGAGUGGCGGACGGGUGAGGAAUACAUCGGAAUCUACUUUUUCGUGGGGGAUAACGUAGGGAAACUUACGCUAAUACCGCAUACGACCUACGGGUGAAAGCAGGGGAUCUUCGGACCUUGCGCGAUUGAAUGAGCCGAUGUCGGAUUAGCUAGUUGGCGGGGUAAAGGCCCAUCAAGGCGACGAUCCGUAGCUGGUCUGAGAGGAUGAUCAGCCACACUGGAACUGAGACACGGUCCAGACUCCUACGGGAGGCAGCAGUGGGGAAUAUUGGACAGUGGGCGCAAGCCUGAUCCAGCCAUACCGCGUGGGUGAAGAAGGCCUUCGGGUUGUAAAGCCCUUUUGUUGGGAAAGAAAAGCAGCAGGUUAAUACCCCGCUGUUCUGACGGUACCCAAAGAAUAAGCACCGGCUAACUUCGUG